rnacentral:rRNA from 1 species
UACGGGGGGAGCAAGCGUUGUUCGGAUUUACUGGGCGUAAAGGGCGCGUAGGCGGCGCCGCAAGUCACUUGUGAAAUCUCCGGGCUCAACUCGGAACGGCCAAGUGAUACUGCGGUGCUAGAGUGCGGAAGGGGCAACUGGAAUUCUUGGUGUAGCGGUGAAAUGCGUAGAUAUCAAGAGGAACACCUGCGGCGAAGGCGGGUUGCUGGGCCGACACUGACGCUGAGGCGCGAAAGCUAGGGGAGCGAACGGG